rnacentral:piRNA from 1 species
UGGUAAACCGACAACCUUCCAGCAUGG